GGGACGAUGAUGGGUAAAAAACAAAGACCUAUAGAUUGUAAUCUAUAGGUCUUUGGUAAAAAACAAUCUCGUCGAAAAACAUUUCUCAAUUAUCAACGAUUUUAAGCCGUUGACACUGCAUUGCAUGGGAAGAAAAGGUGAUAUUAGGUUGGCGGUCCUCUUCUGAAUGUCGUCAAUUACGUUGAGCGCACAUGGAUACGGGGAUCCAUAUGGAAGUCAGAGAACUGGAGCGUCUAUAGACAAACAGUUAGGACUAACAACGAUGUUAAAGGCUGGCAUCGAAGAAUCAAAACACGAGCCGGGCGCGCUGACUUAGGAUUCUACAUGCUCGUCCCCCUUCUACAACGUGAGGCGGCGACAGUGGACUUUACGAUUCGUCUAGUGUCGGAGCAUGCGCUUGCCCGUAUCCAUAGAAGGAAAUACAAGGACGUCCACGGAAAACUAUUCGACACCUGGGACAAAUAUGAGGACGAUGAAAUCACCACCACUCGACUUCUGAGGCGAUGCAGCAACAUCGCAGGCCUUGGGCCCGAUUCAACACAUGACCCAAUCCACGACGAAGAUGUCUGAAAAAGAACAUGGACAUUUAAGAGACAGAAGUGUUGUUGUGUACAUAGUUGUAAAUAUUUAUUUUUGGUGUAAUAUUGUUUGGAAAUAAAUGUAUGUGGUGCGUAAAGGUAAGUAAAUUAUUGGACCGUUUAUUGAAUAUAUUUGUAUUUGAUUAUGUUUUAUAUGCAGAUAUUUAUUUUUGGUGUAAUAUUGCUUGCAAAUAAAAGUGUGUUGUGUAAAGGUAAGUAUAUUAUUAUACCGUUUAUUGAGUAGAUUUGUAUUUGAUUGUAUCUUUAUGUUUUAUAUGCAAAAAAUUUUUUUGUGAUAUAUUUCUUGAAAAUAAAUGUAUGUGUUGUGUAAAGAUAAGUAUAUUAUUAUACCGUUUAUA